UUGGAGGGCAAGUCUGGUGCCAGCAGCCGCGGUAAUUCCAGCUCCAAUAGCGUAUAUUAAAGUUGUUGCAGUUAAAAAGCUCGUAGUUGAAUUUUGGGCCUGGCUGGGUGGUCUUGCCGAAAGGUAAGCACUGCUCUGGUCGGGUCUUUCCUUCUGGGGAACCAGCGUGCUCUUAACUGAGUGCGUUGGGGAUCCAGGACUUUUACUUUGAAAGAAUUAGAGUGUUUAAAGCAGGCUUACGCUUGAAUACAUUAGCAUGGAAUAAUAGAAUAGGACUUUGGUUCUAUUUUGUUGGUUUCUU
rnacentral:rRNA from 1 species